CCUACGUGUUGCUAGAUUCCAAAAAUUUCGCCAUUUUGAAUUCAAGCCUAAAUAGUCAAUAUAAUUUCAUAGUGCAAGGUAUCAUUGUCUAUAGGUCUAGAGGAUAACUAAAUAAAUAUGACUGAAACUAAAGUAAAGGCAACUUGGAAGCGAGGGACAUAUUACAGACUGGAUGGAAUAGAGUUAACCACCAAACUACUAGGCCUACCUCCCAAAAAAUCUCAGAAAGGUAAGGGAACUCCAAAGUCUGCGAAAAAACUUAAGGCAAGAGGUGGGAGCAUCAAACGAGGAGGAGCUGGUGGGAAAACCAAACGUGGGGGAUCUGGAAGGACAUCCAUACGUGUGGGAGCUAGUGGAAAAACCAAACGUAGAGCAGCUGGUGGAAAAACCAAACGUGGUGGAGCAGGUGGAAAAAUCAAACGUAGAGGAGCUGGUGGAAAAACCAAACGUGCAGGAGCUAGUAGGAAAAAGAAGUGAUUCAAGUCAGAUGGAUUCAGCGCUCAUUGAUAAUAUCACUUUCUGCGUAUCUGCCAAAGAAGAAUCGUCUCACCUUCAUAUUUGAUUGCAAUGGAGCUGAUAAACAUUUCCAUUAAUUCAUUUUUUUCUUCUUUGUUCUUCAAACAUAUUUUAGCCUUUCCUUAAAACGAAGCAAUAUGAUUAGUACACUAUAUAUUGUUUUAUUAUUAUUAUUUGUCCUUUAGAAGCAGCUUGAACUCAAUCCGUAAGUCAUCUUAAAUAAAUUGUAGCAGGCCCACAGAGUUACCUUGAAUUUUUAAAUCAUUUGUUAAGAUAUUGUAUAUACAUGUACAUGGAGAAAAAAAAUCGUUAUUGAUUUAGGAGGAUUUGUGAUUUGUGCGGAGGAAAACACGUAAUCAAAAUAGAAUAAGGGAACUUUGAAAAAUAAGGUCACCA